rnacentral:lncRNA from 1 species
ACCGGCUCGCACUCUGAUAGUGCACUUACUCGAAUUCAACCUCAGUUUGAAUUAUCUCACCAGAUUACUCAACUUGGUCAGAUCCACCAGAUGCCCCUCUUCUGCUUGGGACUUUGCUAUCAUGUCAUAGCAUUCGAUUUCAACUUCAUGAUGAAUCACAUCAUGAAACAAAGUCACCAUGGCUCUCUGAUACAGGCACUGGCGUUCUGCUUCUCUAGAGG